AUCCCUUCAAGUUAUUAAUAACCAUGUCGUCGUCUUCUCCUAUUGCUCCCUCUAUUUGCCACAACUUGGCCGAUACGCUACUCAAACAACUCCGAUCUCAUCCGUUUGCCCUCUACCCCGAAAUGAACCAUGCCCGUGCACCCGAACCUUUGGCCUCAGCCUUCGGACCCAAGUCAAAAGCCAGUGACCCGAUUGACCGUGAACCCGAACCUUUGGCCCCAGCCUUCGGACCCAAGUCAAAAACCGGUGACCCGGUUGACCGUAGUGCCAAAACAACCCGAUACUACAUGGUCCUCCUGACCGCCGGAGACAAAGCUCUUAGCCCAGAAAGCAUCCGAGUGAUGGACGUCACCGACCCG
rnacentral:lncRNA from 1 species